CAUUAAACAUAGUUUUUUAAUUAGUCGAGAUUUAAGUUAUAACCCAAUUCACCCCCCCUCUUGGGUUGUCUUCUUGGGCAACAAUACCCCUCCCAACAGUCCAAAAACGGCUAAUUUGAGGGGUAUUUUGGGAAAAAAAAUAUUUGGAGUCCUAUAAAUACCCCUUUCCUCCCUCAUUCUCACCACACCAAUCCAACUAUUCUCUCGUUCUCUACUACUAUUAUUUCUCUCUUCUAAAGUGCUCUUCUAGCAAUUUAAUUUUUAGAAGAGACUACAAUGGUCUAGUAGAUCUUUGAUGCUCAGCCUUC
rnacentral:lncRNA from 1 species